rnacentral:rRNA from 1 species
AAACUAGGAUUAGAUACCCUAUUAUUAAGAGAAAAAUAUUGUUAGUAUAUAAAUAUUAUGAAAACAAAAAAUUAUGGCGGUAUUUUAAGCUUUUCAGAGGAAUUUGCUCUUUAAUGGAUAAAACACCGGUAUCUUACUAAAAUUGGUUAGGCAGCUUGUAUACCACUAUUUAAGUAAUAAUUUAUUAUUAUUACUACAAUUUAUAAUAUUAAUAUAAGUUAAGUCAAGGUGCAGCAUAAGUUUUAGAUUGAAGUGAAUUACAUUUCUUCUAAGAAAUAUAAAAUGAAAAAGAAAUUAGGAUUUGAAAGUAAAAUUUUAAUAAAAUGGAAAUUUGAAUUAAGCUCUAAAAUAUGUACACAUCGCCCGUCGCUCUCAUU